CGUUCGAAACUCUUUUUAGUGCCUCCGACAAUUAUGUGGAAAAGAUGGAAGCAAGUUAUACUCAGACUGAAGACGUGGCCUUGAGUGUAAGCAAUGAAUUGAACUCCACAAAUGGUCCUCAAAGACCCAAGUGGAGCUGUUUAACCUGGUGACGGAUUAUGUCACUCAAAAACUAAAAUUGAAGCAAAAACAAACCACGAAGAAUUCCAUCAAUUCAUCUUCCAGAACUGGCGCUAUAUUUUACUAAAUUCGAAAGGAUGACAGAUAAAGUUGACUUCUGCUGGAUUCGAACUCAGAUCGCAGAGAGCAACAACAAUUACAUGAACAAAUUUUCGGUAUGAGAAUUACUUCCUCUCUCUCUCUCUCUCUCUCUCUCUCUCACACAUUUCCUCCCUCUUUUCCUAACAGUCUUUAAGUAUUAUUUUGUAAUUAUAGAUACAUUCUAUUUUAAUCCAUACUUCUUUAAUCCGUAUAUCUCUAAUUCAUAUAACUUUAAUCUCUAUUUCUCUAAGCAUACCUUCCUUCACAUUCUCCUACAAUUCAUGCCUUUACAAACCAUAUACUUCUCUAAUCCAUAGUCAUAUAUAUAUAUAUAUAUAUAUAUAUAUAUACACUGAGUGGGUGGCAAGUAGCUAGGCAUAAGAAAUUGCUUAUAGAAUGUUUAAUAUCACUGAAGUCAUGACGAAAACAUUUCUUAAGCAGACGACACUAAUGGAGAUUUCUUAUAUGGUCUUAUUUCUUAUUUUCCAGAUCGUCGAUAGCUUGACUGUUCAGGAGCCAGCUAAGAUAACAGCACGCUAUGAAGUGUGGAAGUCCGUUGUUUUGGUUCAGAGAGGGUGGCGUGCAUGGAAAGGUAAACAUACAACACUACGUCUGGAGACAGUAAAAGUUCUUAUGCAAAGCUUAUGACCACGGACUCUGUGAACGAUGCAAGUGGUGGCCGUCCAACCACAUCCCGAUCAACCGAAAAUGUGGCAACAGUGCAAGAAAUGUUUAAUCGUAGCUCCCAAAAAUCAACACGUCAAGCAGCUCGUGAAAGUGGACUAACAAGACACACAAUACGUACGGUUUUGCAUAAACAAUUGAAUUUUCAUCCGUGGAAACCCCGUUACGUGCAGGAGCUAAAACCUGAAAACUGUAACUGCAGAAUUCCAGAAGUCUAGAUCUCACCCCAAGUGAUUUUUACCUGUGAGGUUGCACAAAAAAGGAGGUAUACAAGACAAA
rnacentral:lncRNA from 1 species